AUUUAGGGUUUGGUUAGGGUUUGGUUUAGGGUUUAGGAUUUGGUUAGGGUUUGGUUUAGGAUUUAGGAUUUGGAUUAGGAUUUGGUUUAGGAUUUAGGAUUUGGAUUAGGAUUUGGUUAGGAUUUGAUUUAGGUUUUAGGAUUUGAUUUAGGAUUUGGUUGGGGUUUGGUUUAAGGUUUAUUUAGGGUUUGAUUUAGGAUUUAGGAUUUUAUUAGGAUUUAAGAUUCAAUUAGUUUUGGCCUAAAGUUUGAAUGAAGUUCAAUAGGAUUUUAACUAGAAUUAAAUUAAGAUUGAAUUGAGAUAUAUUUGAGUGAUAUUUGUGAUCCUUCUAAUAUUUCUUUAAGAAUUCUUAUUAUUUGUUUGAAAUUUCUUUGAGGUUUUUUGAAUUUGAUUAAGCUUGCUUAGCAUUAUUAUGGUCUAAUUAAAGUAUUGUUAGUAUUCUAUUUGAAUUAGAAUUUUGUUAUUACAAUUUCCAUUCUUCCUUCCACAGCCAGGUACCCGGAGCAUUCUCAAGCAAGACUUCACGUAUUACGACACCGUAAUCUUGUAAUUAACUACUUUUAAUAAUUAAAUCAAUCAUCUGUCUUCCUGAAUUGACUAUUUUAUGGAUUAUUAGUCUAUUUUACUAAUAUCUUACAGAAAUGAACUAAUAUCUAUUCUACAUAGCUUUAUUUCUAUCUAUGCAGCAUCCUCGCAAAUACACAAUUGUUUCCUAUCUAAAAACUACUUAACAAAACUCUAAAAAGUUACUAUUUCCUCUAGCCCACCCAAUUCAUCAUUUGCUGUAUUAUCGAAUGUAGGUUCCACCGAAUUUGGUUCUAAAUACAAAUCUUCCUCCUCGUCUAAUUCGUCCAUCGUCUCCUUCAUCAACUGAUUUGAGAGAUCUUCAUUAUGCUUUCUCAAUUCACGGACUUGAGCCUC
rnacentral:lncRNA from 1 species